rnacentral:tRNA from 1 species
AUUUACAUAAUUUAUAAAGAAUAUUGCAUUGAAGCUGCAAAAGAGAUAAGUUUAUCUGUGAAUA